rnacentral:rRNA from 1 species
AUUGAACGCUAGCGGGAUGCCUUACACAUGCAAGUCGAACGGAGUGGCGAACGGGUGAGUAAUGUAUCGGAACGUGCCCAGUAGCGGGGGAUAACUACGCGAAAGCGUAGCUAAUACCGCAUACUAUUGGAGCGGCCGAUAUCGGGUUAGCUAGUGGGUGGGGUAACGGCCCACCAAGGCGACGAUCCGUAGAUGGUUUGAGAGGACGACCAGCCACACUGGGGCUUGGAAACGGCCCAGACGCCGUGGGGGGGGAGGAGUGGGGAAUUUUGGACAAUGGGGGAAACCCUUAUCCAGCCAUCCCGCGUGGGCGAUGAAGGCCUUCGGGUUGUAAAGCACUUUUUGCAGGGAAGCGGUACCUGCAGAAUAAGCACCGGCUAACUACGUGCCAGCAGCCGCGGUAAUAC